GCAGGAUCCGUAUUCAUAAGAAGCCAUGCUGGGUAUGAGCUACUGAGCUGUUGGGUCUCCGUGACUGUCGGAAGGGGGUUACUUCUACCCAUACUAUUCGCCCGCACCUGAAGAGAACUUCAGGACUUUGAUUUCACGGCAUCUGACAAUACACUCACCGCUGAAUUUCCCCCCGGCCAAUCGCCGCCAACACUUCCGUCCCCGCUGGUUUCUCUACUUUUACCCAUACUCUGAGUGUCCAAGAGACCUAUGGAUGCCUGUGACGAGUUGAUAUGGCAGUUAGACUUGAACGUUAACGGAGUACCACCCGACAUGGAGGUGUAAGGCUCGCUUGCCCUUCUUCUAGUUAUGUCGUCAUUCAUCCCGACCCCCGAAUAGUGAUCUGCAGUGGUCAAGGCACUACUUAUAGGCGUAUGAGGCCCACCCCACGACUGUGUUCUCGUCAUACCUGUGCCGUAACUCUCCACAGGCCCAUUAACGCCUGCUGAAGACUGAAUGAAGGAAGGAGGCAUAGAACCUCUUCUGGCGCACAAGCCAACCUGAUUAUACGCCGGUUGCACAGGGAAUAAAGGGUUUGUGACCCAGUGGGAAGAGGGUGGGAUAGGAAUCUGAGAUGGGUAGAUGAUAGAAGUAGGUAAACCGGUGAAGCUGCUUGAAGGCGGAGGGUGAAUAGUGUUGGUCUUGCCGCGAUAUGCCCCACGCCGGCAUGACAGAGACUUACCUUUAUUCUCUCCUCGUCUUCGGUUACUUCUCUCUCCUUCGCGGGCAGGAGCAUCUUUUGACUUGCGUCUUUUUUUGAAUGUCGAUCCACUGGUUGACUUAGUGCGAGGCGAUACAUUGCCCACAGACGAAGGCCCCGGAGAACUCGUCUGCGCUUGCUGAGAGGCUUGUCUGGGCCUCUCUUUGUCUAGCUGCUCAUCAUCAGCCAUAGGAGGGAAAGAGUACUCCCACAAUGGUUUCAACCACGUGUCGUCUUGUUCUCUUGCUGACGUUGAGGCGAACGGCUGCUCCUGGGGGAGGACUGGUACUGCUGCCAGGGGAGGUAAGGACAUGUUGUAAGCAACUGUGGUAAGAGUUGGGUGAAACAAUACGAGGCGAGGAGUGCAAGAUUUUCAAAGAUGGAAAGGAGGGCUAAUAAACUAACCAAACAAGCGGUGAGGAUUUUCAGUAGCGAUAAGUGAUGGAAAAGAAGAAGUGCCGGCACCUAGACUACGCCUGUCUCGUCAUAUAUAUUCCUGGCUCAUCUCUUCAACUUUUGCUCGAUCCAUGAUUCACCACCAGUACCAGAAUCAAGAUCCCCACAUCACCCGCCCCCUUUCUUAUUCGGUUCAGCUUCCACUCCCAGGCACUCAUUUUCUCCGUCUGAGACAAACACCUGUGAACAGUACCCGCUGAGCGGAGCUUGGCACAGUCCCCGGGCGGCACGGUUGUGACCUGUAACUUGUUCAGUUCCUAGCUCGCAAACGGACAGCAGACGCUCUCUCCAUCACCAUCCGCCCAUCAAUGAAACACGGACCUUGUCACAUAGGCAGACUUGCAUCCGUCGCUGGCACUACGCGCGCUAAGAGCAGCCCUAUGCUCUGGGGGUGUGUCACCACCGCUUCAAACCUCCCUUCCCUCUCCAUGUCACCGGACAAGAUCUCUCAACUCUCCGAGAUGGGAUGAUUAAUUAUAGGAGAGAUCAGGAAUGAAGUGGUGAUUACUCUUUGUGCCUAUUGACACGUUCCAUAUCCAUAGGUUUUCUAACUUUUUGUGUACGACUGGAUCGGGUCGUGUUGCGCUGUGGGCGUUAAUGGGCUACACCCAAGACAUUUGGCACGGCGAGACCAAGACGUCAGUCAGACGCGGCAUUUGGAGGAUGACCGUUCCGUGACAUCUGAAAACGCGCGGCAAAGGAUGGGUUCAUUUCUACGGGGUGCCACAAGUUUCAGAAAAGUAAAACAUCUGUAAUUGUGGGACAGUUGUGUACUCAACCACCAUGCAUCGCUGGUGUCGGGAUACGCGCUCGCUUGAAGCUUGACUUCAAAUGUUGGACGCUUCAAGUCAGCGUUAGGUCAUCGAUUUGUGAGAUUGUAGCGUAUUCUGACUUGAGUCCGCAUUUAGGUGCUGUCGAGCAGCAGUAACGGAGUCGGCACGGUUGCUGAUUAAUUUCGGGAGGGCGUAAUUAAUCAGGCGUACUAACUGAUGCUGAUUUUGUUAGUGCUGGUGGGAGAUUUAAAUGAAUGAUGAAACCCAUAGCGUAGAAUUUGAUCCCAUCUCUUUGUGCACUUUGCCCACCAUCAAGAGAUAACAGGAUGCGCUGUGUGGCAUGCGCUAAAGACAGAUUGGCUGAAGCUGAUGAGGUGGUGGCUGGUGCUGGGGACCACAUUCUUUUUGAUACCAUACUAAAGCGUGUUCUGAUGGUGCCAUUUUGAUGGAGAUGUUGAUGU
rnacentral:sRNA from 1 species